GCUGCUGUCGAAGUUCCAUCUACAAAUGGAUAAUACUUUGGUUUUAGUGUAUACGAGUCGUUGAAGGAUCAAUACCAAACUUCUUAAUAGAACAAGAAGUUUGGUAUUGAUCCAUUUGAUUCAGUAGUGUUUUAUUCACAUAAUCGUUUUUCAUUUUCAUUUCUUUUAUUCAACUUAUGGAAACCGCCGGUUAUUUCAUGAUCGAAUAUCGUAGUUUCUUUUGUACCGACCUGUAAUUUAUAUACGACAUUCUGAUUUUUCAAAAUCAUUUUUUUUUAGGAAAAAAUCAAAUGAUUUUUCUUAUUUUAUUUUAAAGGAUUGGCAUUUUCUGUACAAUAUCUGUAUUUCAGUAGGAAGGAGAGUGAAGUAAUAAAGACUAAAUAAAAAAAUAAUGAAUGGCGAAAAUGGAAUCCUUUUGAGAGAGGAGGGGCGGAUGUAGCCAAGUGGAUCAAGGCAGUGGAUUUGUGAAU
rnacentral:misc_RNA from 1 species